rnacentral:rRNA from 1 species
GACAGAGGGUGCAAACGUUGUUCGGAAUUACUGGGCGUAAAGCGCGUGUAGGCUGCUCAGAAAGUCGGAUGUGAAAGCCCUGGGCUUAACCUAGGAAGUGCAUUCGAAACUUCUGAGCUUGAGUUCUGGAGAGGAAGGCGGAAUUCUCGGUGUAGAGGUGAAAUUCGUAGAUAUCGAGAGGAACACCGGUGGCGAAGGCGACCUUCUGGACAGUGACUGACGCUGAGACGCGAAAGCGUGGGGAGCAAACAGG